UGGGUAAGCUGAUGAGAAUUUAGAGUAGGGGGAAUGUGAAUUUUUCGAAUCUGCAGUAGUGGAAGAGCCAUUAAUUUCUGUUUCAACAAUCUCAAGACCAAGGGGGGAUGUACUUUGAAAAGAAGUAGAGUUAAACUGGUUAAACCCACCUUCCAGUUCAGUAAGAUCCACGUAAGCAGGACUAUCAGUUACAUGAUCCUCGGAUUCGGAACGGUACUCAGCAGAGAGAGAAGAAUCACUACUGUCCGAAAAUUCUAUUUCAAGACCAUUCUCUGCGACAGUUCGGUUUACCAUUGCCUCAUAAUCAUUUUCAGAAUCCAUUUCAUCAUCGGAAGAAUUAGAAGAACAAGUAAAGGUAACGCGUUUUAUACGAAAAUUUGGGGAUGGAGCCUCCAAGGUUUUUUCCACAAUAUCUAAAGGCGGGAGAGUCACAGACUGCUGAGAAUUGGACGUUUCCGAAUUUUUAUAUUUAUUUAAUCGAGCCAAACGCUCUGAAGGAGUUUCAAUGUAUUCAGCAGGUAA